AUUGAACGCUGGCGGCAGGCCUAACACAUGCAAGUCGAGCGAGCGGCGGACGGGUGAGUAAUGUAUGGGGACUGCCCGAUAGAGGGGGAUAACUACUGGAAACGGUUGCUCAUACCGAAUACUGUCGGAUAACCCAUAUGGGAUUAGCUAGUAGGUAAGGAAAUGGCGUACCUAGGCGAAGAUCCCUAGCUGGUCUGAGAGGAGGAUCAGCCACACUGGGCAUGAUACACGGCCCAGACUCCUACGGAGGCAGCAGUGGUGAAGAUGGCAAAAUGGGCGCAAGCCUGAUGCAGCCAUGCCGCGUGUAUGAAGAAGGCCCUAGGGGUGUAAAGUACUUUCAGUCGGGAGGCGUUACCGACAGAAGAAGCACCGGCUAACUCCGUGCCAGCAGCCGCGGUAAUUC
rnacentral:rRNA from 1 species